CUAGCUGUAAACGAUGGAUACUAGGCGUUGAGAGUAUCGACCCUCUCAGUGUCGUAGCUAACGCGUUAAGUAUCCCGCCUGGGGAGUACGCGCGCAAGCGUGAAACUCAAAGGAAUUGACGGGGGCCCGCACAAGCGGUGGAGUAUGUGGUUUAAUUCGAUGCAACGCGAAGAACCUUACCAGGGCUUGACAUGUCCGGAACCCUGCCCAAAGGCGGGGGUGCCUACGGGAACCGGAAUACAGGUGGUGC
rnacentral:rRNA from 1 species